rnacentral:rRNA from 1 species
AGAAACUAAAUAGGAUUCCCCCAGUAAUGGCGAAUGAACAGGGAAGAGCUCAGCAUGGAAAUCGGGGCCUCCCGGCCUUGAAUUGUAGUCUUGAGAUGUACUGCCAACGGAGGCGCAGAUGUAAGCCUCUUGGAAAAGAGCAUCAACGAGGGUGAGAGUCCCGUUUGUCAUCUGCAGUCCCCCGUGCACGGUGUACAUUCUAAGAGUCACGUUCCUCGGGAUUGGAGCGCAAAGUGGGUGGUAAAUUUCAUCUAAAGCUAAAUAUUGGUUCGAGACCGAUAGCAAACAAGUACCAUGAGGGAAAGGUGAAAAGGACUUUGAAAAGAGAGUUAAAAGUGCCUGAAAUUGCUGAAAGGGAAGCGAAUGGAACCAGUGUUCUUGAUGAGAUUGUCGCGUACUCUGGUGAUUGCUGGGUGCUCCACCGCAAGGGGGGCAUUUGGUUUUGAGCUAGAUGUGCGUGGUGUUUCUUGUCUUGUGUGUCACCGUCGGUGCACGAGCGAGUAAACCUCCAGGGAGAUGGUAACUCGUCUGCGGAUGUGUGAAUGUCUCUGGUAGUACUCAUUUGUGUAUCGAUCCCUGCGUGUCUGGUUGCAGUGUUUGAGUCGUCUGGAAGCUUCUGAAAGGCUUGCCCUCG